UCAUUUGGUGGGUUUUGAGUGAAAUCGAAUCUCUAGAACUAUACAACACACCAACCUCCCCAUUUCAGAACGAACUUCGUACGAACCUGAAUUGUCCGAUUUCAGGGACCAAUCGAUAUCGGAUUGAGGGGGGGAACUUGGGGAACAUCAUAAUAUUGUGGGAGGAGUCAUUUGGUGGGUUUUGAGUGAAAUCCAAUCUCUAGAAUUAUACAAUACACCAACCACCCCAUUUCAGAAUGAACUUUGUAGGAACCUGAAUUGUCCGAUUUCAAGGACCAAUCGAUAUCGGACUGAGUCCAAAACUUGGGGGAACAUCAUAAUAUUGUGGGAGGAGUCAUUUGGAAUGUUUUGAGUGAAAUACAAUCCCUAGAACUAUACAAUACACCAACCACUCCAUUUCAGAACGAACUUCGUACGAACCUGAAUUGUCAACUUUCGUGGACCGAUCGAUAUCGGAUUGAGUCCAAAACUUGGGGAACAUCAUAAUAUUUUGGGAGGAGUCAUUUGGUACAUUUUGAGUGAAAUCCAACCUCUAGAACUAUACAAUGCACCAACCACCCCAUUUCAGAACGAAUUUCGUAGGAAACUGAAUUGUCCGAUUUUAAGGACCAAUUGAUAUCGGAUUGAGUCCAAAACUUGGGGAACUGUCGUGGGAGGAGUCAUUUGGUGGGUUUUGAGUGAAAUCCAAUCUCUAGAACUAUACAAUACACCAAUCACCCCAUUUCAGAACGAACUUCGUACGAAUAUGAAUUGUCCGAUUUCAAGGACCAAUCGAUAUCGGACAGAGUCCAAAAGUUGGGGAACGUCAUAAUAUCGUGGGAGGAGUCAUUUGGUGGGUUUUGAGUGAACUCCAAUCUCUAGACCUAUACAAUACACCAACCUCCUCAUUUCAGAACGAACUUCGUUCGAACAUGAAUUGUCCGAUUUCAAGGACCAAUUGAUAUCGGACUUAGUCCAAAACUUGGGGAACAUCAUAAUCUUGUGGGAGGAGUCAUUUGGUGGUUUUGAGUGAAAUCCAAUCCCUAGAACUAUACAAUACACCAACCACCCCAUUUCAGAAUGAACUUUCGUAGGAACCUGAAUUGUCCGAUUUCAAGGACCAAUCGAUAUCGGACUGAGUCCAAAAGUUGUGGAACAUAAUAAUAUUGUGGCAGGAGUCAUUUGGUGGGUUUUGAGUGAAAUCCAAUCUUUAGAAUUAUACAAUACACCAACCACCCCAUUUCAGAAUGAACUUCGUAGGAACCUGAAUUGUCCGAUUUCAAGGACCAAUCUAUAUCGGACAGAGUCCGAAAGUUGGGGAACAUCAUAAUAUUGUGGGAGGAGUCAUUUGGUGGGUUUUGAGUGAAAUCCAAUCUCUAGACCUAUACAAUACACCAACCUCCUCAUUUCAGAACGAACUUCGUACGAACUUGAAUUGUCCGAUUUCAAGGACCAAUUGAUAUCGGAUUGAGUCCAAAACUUGGGGAACAACAUAAUCUUGUGGGAGGAGUCAUUUGGUGGGUUUUGAGUGAAAACCAAUCUCUAGAACUAGACAAUACACCAACCACCCCAUUUCAGAAUGAACUUUGUAGGAACCUGAAUUGUCCGAUUUCAAGGACCAAUCGAUAUCAGAUUGAGUCCAAAACUUCGGGAACAUCAUAAUAUUGUGGGACGAGUCAUUUGGUAAGUUUUGAGUGAAAUAGAAUCCAAAGAACCAUACAAUACACCACCCACUCCAUUUCAGAACGAACUUCGUACGAACCUGAAUUGUCAAAUUUCGUGGACCGAUCGAUAUCGGAUUGAGUCCAAAACUUGGGAAGCAUCGAAAUCUUGUGGGAGGAGACAUUUGGUGGGUUUUGAGUGAAAUCCAAUCUCUAGAACUAUACAAUACACCAACCACCCUAUUUCAGAACGAACUUCGUACGAACCUGAAUUGUUCGAUUUCGAGGACCAAUCGAUAUCGGAUUGAGUCCAAAACUUGGGGAACAUUAUAAUAUUGUGGGAGGAGUCAUUUGGUGGGUUUUGAGUGAAAUCCAAAAUCUAGAACAAUACAAUACCCCAACCACCCCAUUUCAGAACGAACUUUGUAGGAACCUGAAUUGUCCGAUUUCAAGGACCAAUCGAUAUCGGAUUGAGUUCAAAACUUGGGGAGGAUCAUAAUAUUGUGGGAGGAGUCAUUUGGUAAGUUUUGAGUGAAAUACAAUUCCCAGAACCAUACAAUACACCACCCACCCCAUUUAAGAAGGAACUUCGUACGAACCUGAAUUGUCAAAUUUCGUGGACCGAUCGAUAUCUGAUUGAGUCCAAAACUUGGGGAGCAACAUAAUCUUGUGGGAGGAGUCAUUUGGUGGGUUUUGAGUGAAAUUCAAUCUCUAGAGCUAUACAAUACACCAACCACCCCAUUUAAGAACGAACUUCGUACGAACCUGAAUUGUCCGAUUUCAAGGACCAAUCGAUAUCGGAUUGAGUCCAGAACUUGGGGAGUAACAUAAUCUUGUGGGAGGAGUCAUUUGGUGGGUUUUGAGUGAAAUCCAAUCUCUAGAACUAUACAAUACACCAACCACCCCAUUUCAAAACGAACUUCGUACGAACCUGAAUUGUCCGAUUUCAAGGACCAAUCGAUAUCGGAUUGAGUCCAAAACUUGGGGAACAUUAUAAUAUUGUGGGAGGAGUCAUUUGGUGGAUUUUGAGUGAAAUCCAAUCUCUAGAACUAUACAAUACCCCAACCACCCCAUUUCAGAAUGAACUUCGUAGGAAC
rnacentral:lncRNA from 1 species